AAUGCGUCAUCGGGCCGCGCCGCCGGGCUAGUACCCUGAGCGCAGCGCCCUGCCGGGAUGUUGGGGUGAGAGGCGUGCAGGGACCUGGAUUGGCCAGUCCAGACUAGCCGUGCCAAAAAGGGGGCCUCGGAGUUGGGGGUAGUGGACCCAGGAGCAGAAAUCCGGCGACCGUGGCGCUGCAAUCACACAGCUUUCCCGUGGUUUCCUAAGUGGUCGCGGUGAUUUGUUUGCGGGGCGUGACGGAAGACUUGGUUAAAGGACUCCGCAGGCAAACAACGAUCUCUUCUGGGCAGCUACAGACCUCUCCUCGGAGGAGUCUAGGAGAGGCCUGGCUGGAAGCCCCGGCACCCGCCGGGCCCCGGGCCUCAGAUAAGUGAGGCGUCGUCAUGGCAACGCGGCUCAGGUCCCCACAAACUUCAUGCCAGGCCUCUCAGAUAAUUAAGAAAGAAAUGGAAAAGAUGGAAGAAUGGUGUGGAUAUGGAGAAGAGAAUGAUGCAGAAGAUGAACAGAUACAGGGACAGGGAAAGCGCCUGAAAAUCUCAAAUCUGGGGAAAGAAAGAGAAACAGCACUUUGUAAUGGCAUCCUAAUCUUGUUACCAAACAAACGGGGCUUGUUGCCCUAUACGCACAGAAGCCAAUAUUAUGGCGCUGGUUUUUUGAGAAAAGUUUUCAUUGCGAGUCAACUAACAAGGAGACAGGAGUAUAGCUCUAAUCUGUCUCCCUGUGCUGGCUUUAAGACGUUUUCUAUUUUUAUUAGAAAACGUUUAGGGGGUAGAUUCUGGGAUUAGUAGGUGAUUGGGGGAAGGAAAGAAGCCUGAAAAAUCCUCUGGCGUUCGCAGUUACCUCUUCAUGUCCCUUCAUGGGUCGCAUGUGCAAAUUUUGGAGGGAGUCAGUGUGAAACAUGGGGGAAGAUUCAAGCUGUGACGCCAGCAGGCUCAUUUUGUACAGACUCCAGGUAGCCAUCCAUGUUAGUACUAACCAAUUUCAGCCAGUUUGCUUUGUUUUGUUUUGUGUUUUAAUCUCACAAUGGAAGAAGUUUAGGUGUUUUAGCAAGUUGUUUUUUAUCUGCCGUCCUGCAUGCUCAAGAAUUUUUGUUAGUCCCUGGUUUCUUUAACUCUGAGACACGGUUUCACUCUUGUGAUUUUCUAUAUAUAGGUCUGUAGGAUUAAUCCAUUGCCUUUUUCUAAUUUAGGCAUGCAUGUAGAUAUUGGCUGUUAGCAAAAUUAGUGUUUGUCACAUCUCUCAUGAGAAUAAUUUUUUCCUUGUAGGCUGAUUUGUAAAUAGUGAAGGCAGUGCAGUUUCUUGUAGGUUUUGAUUUUAGAUGUGAAAUGUGUACAUUAAACCUUUCUUGCUGAGUUAGUCAAGUAAGCACUUUUUGUAAAAGAUGUUUUCAUAAAACACGUUUCAUAAGUAAAAUACAGUUUCUAAAGUUAAA